CACACGCACAGCGUUAUACGUACUUCGAAGGCUCUUACAAUUAGUAUAGAAACGAUGUUUGCGGCUGGACACGACUGCGAUUAUUCUUAACUAUGGAAAUAGUGACAAAUAUCGUCACCGUUUAGAUGCAAAUCUAACUCGUUUUGUUUAUUACAUUCGAUUUUAAGACUACUUACUUUAGCAAGUAACGUUCGAUAAAAACGUAACCACGUGUAAAUCACAUAUAAUGUGAAGAUCAUUUAUCUUAUUACGUGUAGCACAAAUCAUGUUUACAUAAUUUUUAAUAGCCAUCAAUUUACUGAUUAAGUCUAUAAGAAAUAUUUCUUUUCUUUUAACUUUAACAAUAAGAGUAGACAGAUUUUUGGCACACGUUUUCCUAUUCUAAUUAAGAAAGGAUGGAAACAUUGAAGACACGUUUUGGUAACGAGGCUCGUUGUAAAACUUGAAUUACGUUGUUGGUUUUUAUGAUGAGGUACAGUUAGAAUUUUAUCUAGAAUCAGUAGAAGUUAGUUUUUAGAAACAAGACUUGUUACUAGUGAAUAAACCUCGACCCCCUGUUUAAAGAUGUUCCGAAGGACAGUAACGAGUCGAGUAUAUGAGACUAACGUUUGGCAAUUAUUCAUCCUUGUCCAUGAAUCUUAUUUUUUCUUCGAAUAACUCAGACAAAGUUUAAUUAGAAAGUCGAAUACAAAAUGUCAUAAGAAAUAUUUGUCAUAAUCUUUAUGACAGGAUUCGAUUUCUCUAUACUUGUUCCUACUACUUUAAUAAUUCUCAGAGCAUUGAGAAGAUCACGAAUCAUGACUUGUAAUAAAUCAUCACAAAAUAUGCAAUAAAUUUAGAAUGACUAAAGAACUGAGAUAAUUUAGAGAACGAUGAUAUUGAAAACGUGACUAUAUGCGUGAAACUGUAAAAACUGGUGGGAGCCAAAUUAUCGAGAAGAAAAACAAAAGUGAAUGCACACGUGCAGCUUUUACAGAAAGUAGAACUCUUACUUUCUGCGUGUCCUCCGACGUGUAGCACGUCGAUGAGGCUUCCGACUACAGAUAAAUUUUACGAUUUCCCUUUCUAAAGCGUCGUGGCCAUUCGACGUGAAUCCACCGAGCGAUAUAUGUACAGUACGUAAGUACAUGGUGAAAUUUAUAUAACAGGUGAUUAAUCGUUUAAUUCGGAGGCCAUUCACACACGCACACGUCCGACAACAACCAAUUGCUUCACCUUUCCCGCGCUUUCUGGUCAAUGACUCUGGGUAAAGUGGCUCAUACAUUUUAGGGACUACGAUUUCUUGGUAAACAGGUUCUAACGUGCUGCCUUGUGAGCACAAUUUUUUACUUGAAAGUUAUCUAAUCGUGCUGGUCACUGAAACCAGUUUUAUUCCCCCUGGCUCGAGUCAUAAGUUCACGGAAUUCGUUUCUCAAGUAAUCUUCUUAAACUCUUCUUCGCUAAAGUACGUAAAUAAUAUACAUAUAUCAACAUAAUUUUUUGUGACAGCUCAUGUUUCAGGUAUUUUGUUGGACUGAAGUUCAGAGAAUUUUUAAAACAAUUAUAGUUUUAAAAUUUUAGUCUUUUUAAAGUCUGUAAAUUAUACCAUAAGGGGAACUCUAGUUUGCCAUCGAAGGAUGCGUACAUAAAUAAUUUACAAUUCUAGAUGCCAUUUACGCAAAUGUUUGAACAAGUCGAGUUUACUCAGUGAUUGCGUAACCCAUAGAUAGUUACGUUAAUAAGAGAAAUUAAUAAGAAACGGCGUGACUGUAAAUAAAUUGUUUACAGAUUCAUUUUCGUCGCUGUCGUGUUUCUUGAUCCUCAAUUUCAAAUUUCUCAGAACUCGCCUCUCAGGUAAACUUCAUUAAGCGAACGGAUCCAACGAGCAGCUUAUCCAGUCAUUAAACGUCGAGCAAUCCUUGAAACUAAAUCAGCGCUGUUCUGGCUAGAGAUUAGCUUCUCCGAGUCCGAUGAAUAAAAACGGACGGGCAAGAAAAAAAACCCUUUCAGCUAAUUUCCUGUUCACCUUGGACUUCAUUUAAAUAGGGACGUUCACUGAUAAGAAUGAUUAUGUAAUUCUAAUAAGAUUUAAAACAUUAA